rnacentral:rRNA from 1 species
UACGGAGGGUCCAAGCGUUAUCCGGAAUCAUUGGGUUUAAAGGGUGCGCAGGCGGUAAAGUAAGUCAGUGGUGAAAUCUCUUCGCUCAACGAAGAAACUGCCAUUGAUACUGCUAUACUUGAAUAUAGUUGAAGUAGGCGGAAUGUGUAGUGUAGCGGUGAAAUGCUUAGAUAUUACACAGAACACCGAUAGCGAAGGCAGCUUACUAAACUAAUAUUGACGCUCAUGCACGAAAGCGUGGGGAGCGAACAGG